GACACUCUUUUGUUUUUAAAUUUAUUCGUUUGCUUCCGUAUUUCGAAUUCUGUUAUGAUUUCACAUAAUUGUUUCCUGUGAAAUAAAUAUAUUAGUUUCAUUUUAAAGUUGAUACAUAUGACUAGUAUUUGUACUCUUUGAAUUAGGUAUUCAUGUUUAGUACUAUUUAUUUCGAUAAUUAUAGAGCGGUACAUGUUGCUACCUUCUUUUUGAAACCUUGUGAUUAUAAUUUGAUUUGGUUCAACAUGUACAUAUAGAACCCUUUUGUUGGUAUUUUGUCGCAUGUGUUGUGACAUGAUAUUUUUGUUAGAAUAUACCGUAGGGUAUACCUGAGCUAUAACCACCUGUGGGG
rnacentral:lncRNA from 1 species